UACGUAGGGUGCAAGCGUUAAUCGGAAUUACUGGGCGUAAAGCGUGCGCAGGCGGUUAUGCAAGUCAGAUGUGAAAUCCCCGGGCUCAACCUGGGAACUGCAUUUGUGACUGCAUGGCUAGAGUACGGUAGAGGGGGAUGGAAUUCCGCGUGUAGCAGUGAAAUGCGUAGAUAUCAAGUGGAACACCAGUGGCGAAGGCGAGUCCCUGGACAAAACCUGACACUGAGGCACGAAAGCUAGGGGAGCAAACAGG
rnacentral:rRNA from 1 species